CAACUAACGCUUGAAGCCGCAGUCUUCUCUUCUUCACACUUUCCUCGCCGCUGGCGCAGCGCUGCUCCCGCAGUCAUGCGCAUCUUCCUUCUCUCAGGGCAGAGCAACAUGGCCGGCCGCGGCGGCGUGCACCACCGAAGGUGGGACGGGGUCGUGCCGCCGGAGUGCGCGCCGGACCCCUCCAUCCUCCGCCUCUCCGCCGCGCUCGCAUGGGAGGAGGCCCUCGAGCCGCUGCACGCCGACAUCGACACGACCAAGACCUGCGGCGUCGGCCCCGGGAUGGCCUUCGCCCGCGCCAUUCUCCCGCGGCUGCAGCCCCCAGGCACCGCUGGGGUCGGGCUCGUACCGUGCGCCGUCGGCGGCACAGCCAUACGGGAGUGGGCCCGCGGGGAGUACCUGUACGAGCAGAUGGUGCGGCGCGCGCGCGCCGCGACCGAGUGCGGCGAGAUCGAGGCCGUGCUGUGGUACCAGGGGGAGAGCGAUGCAGAGUCCGAUGCCGAAACGGCGGCGUACCAGGGGAACGUGGAGAGGCUGAUAGCAAAUAUCAGGGCAGAUCUUGGGAUGCCGCACCUACCAUUCAUUCAGGUUGCUCUCGCAUCUGGGAAUAAAAGGAACAUUGAAAAAGUGAGGGAGGCUCAGCUUAGCAUUAACUUGCUGAAUGUUGUAACUGUGGAUGCAAUUGGUCUGCCCUUGAACGAAGAUAAUUUGCAUCUUACCACUGAAGCACAAGUAAAGCUUGGAGAAAGUCUUGCACAAGCCUACAUCAGUAACUUUUUACAAGCAACCUGCUAGGAGACCCGCAAAUGUCACAAUAGGGUUGCCCCAUCUUCGUUCCACGGCACAUAUGUUUGACAGUACCCUUGCAAGACCGCCAUGACGACCUUUUAUAUUUGGAAGGCAUUGUAACAUUUGCACAUCUGCAGUACAAAGACCGAAUAAAAAUCACAUGUAAAUGAAAAUUUGCAUGGAUUCCAAAUGUAUUUCCUGUUUUAAGUUACAUCGACACGACAACCUUGUGUGCGCGCAAAACAACAUCAGAUCCCUCUAGGAUCCGCAAGAACACACACUUGAUGCGACCAUGCGUACCUCAAAUACAGUACUGAUGAUGUGGGUGGUGUUCCUCUUUCGGGGGAAUGGAUGGCAUGCAGGUAGCAUGGCAUGCAUCCCCUAUGAAUACUUUUGGU